rnacentral:snoRNA from 1 species
GCCGAUGAAGAGCGGUUUCGGAGCUGAGAUGUGAUGUAACCAGCUAUCGCUGAGG